AGCAUGCCCGUUUUACAUAUGUAUUUUCUAAGGAUUACAAAUUGAUGAUUGGUAAGAGAACACCUUUUAGUAGAUAAUCACUGUAAUAUAAGUGCAAAAGAACUUCUAUGGUGUAUCACGUUUAUUAGAUCUGCAGCUUUUGCCAUCUGGUUUUAAGAUAUACCCCACCCCCCAAUGGAAAAAAAAAUGCAUCAUUGAAUGCAUGGUUGUUUGCAUUGGGGUAUAUCUACUAAACAGUGAUUUGUAUAUUUUUGCAUUUAGAAAGUGAUGUUUAAUAUGUUGGAAAUAUCACGUCUCAAAC